CCCCGCAGGGGGAUAACCGGGCGAAAUCCCGACUAAUACCGCGUAACGCCGCGGGGCUGCAUGGCCCCGCGGCCAAAGGAAGCGAUUCCGGCGGGGGAUGGGCAUGCGGCGCAUUAGCUAGUCGGCGGGGUAACGGCCCACCGAGGCGACGAUGCGUAGGGGUUCUGAGAGGAAGGUCCCCCACACUGGUACUGAGACACGGACCAGACUCCUACGGGAGGCAGCAGUGAGGAAUAUUGGUCAAUGGGCGUAAGCCUGAACCAGCCGAGUCGCGUGAGGGAAGACGGUCCUACGGAUUGUAAACCUCUUUUGCCGGGGAGCAACGGGGUCCUUGCGAGGGCCUUAUGAGAGUACCCGGAGAAAAAGCAUCGGCUAACUCCGUGCCAGCAGCCGCGGUAAUACGGAGGAUGCGAGCGUUAUCCGGAUUUAUUGGGUUUAAAGGGUGCGUAGGCGGGCUGUUAAGUCAGCGGUCAAAUGUCGGGGCUCAACCCCGGCCUGCCGUUGAAACCGGCGGCCUCGAGUGGGCGAGAAGUAUGCGGAAUGCGUGGUGUAGCGGUGAAAUGCAUAGAUAUCACGCAGAACUCCGAUUGCGAAGGCAGCAUACCGGCGCCCGACUGACGCUGAGGCACGAAAGCGUGGGUAUCGAACAGGAUUAGAUACCCUGGUAGUCCACGCAAUAAACGAUGAAUGCUAGCU
rnacentral:rRNA from 1 species